CGUAGGGGGCGAGCGUUGUCCGGAUUUAUUGGGCGUAAAGAGCUCGUAGGCGGUUCGAUAAGUCGGAUGUGAAAUCUCCACGCUCAACGUGGAGGGUGCAUUCGAUACUGUCGUGACUAGAGUCCGGUAGAGGAGUGUGGAAUUCCUGGUGUAGCGGUGAAAUGCGCAGAGAUCAGGAGGAACACCCGUAGCGAAGGCGGCACUCUGGGCCGGAACUGACGCUGAGGAGCGAAAGCGUGGGUAGCGAACAGGAUUAGAUACCCUGGUAGUCCACGCCGUAAACGUUGGGCACUAGGUGUGGGACUCUAUCGACGGGUUCCGUGCCGUAGCUAACGCAUUAAGUGCCCCGCCUGGGGAGUACGGCCGCAAGGCUA
rnacentral:rRNA from 1 species